GUCUAUAACUAGACUGGCGUAAUUAUUUAUGAAUCUAUGAAAUUUAUGCAUCUUGUCAUGAUCUUGUCCUUCUUGCCAUCUUGUAUUAAUAGCGAUACUACGUCGCCAUUUUUUUGUUAUUGAUUAGUGUAAUUUAUUCGUUUUUCUCUAUUUUUACAGAUUGACGAUAAGAUGAAGAUAUCAAGAGUGGAAGAGUGUUCAUUUUAAUGUUAUUGAAAAAGCGAGCUGUCUUUUGUGGCGUUCUAUUUCUCAACUUGGAGAACUUGCUUUGUUGUACGUAUUUUUAGGUUAUCCAACAAAUGAGAGAGACUUGGUGUCCAGUUUGGUCUUAUUGAAACAGCCAAUGUCUACAUGGGUGUUGUCUUUCGUGAACUACAUUCUUGAUUUGCUGUACCAUCAUGCAGUUAAUUUUCAGCCCAUGAGUGAGAGCAAUUGGAUAUUUAUUUGAAUUCCACCGAAACAACAAAUUCUCUGCUGCAGUUUUUCUCCUGGAGUUGGUUUGCUUUUUACACCUGCAAACUUUGGAACGUUACGUUCUACAAUUAAUUAAGAUCGACGUUGGAGAAGACAAAGAUGACCCUGUAGUUGAA